rnacentral:rRNA from 1 species
AUGUACACGCUCUCGAUCUCACUCAUUGAUGUCAGUUGCACUAACCAAAAUAAGAGAGCACCAGUUUGGCCUCGGCGGCAGGUGAUUAAGCUGCAGCGGAGAACUUGCUCCAUUACCAAUUCCUUUUGGUUCUCGACUAUAAAUAGAGCGCGCUGCAAAGGUCUCACCACCAACAAAGCACUUUCUCUUCCACCAUUACAAACAGAAACAGCACAUCAUCAGCUCAGUUAAUCCAUUAGAAACAUGGCCUGCCAUCAAAGAUCCGCGAGUCUGCCUUCCAUCCCCCACUCCACCGAAUCCAAAGUGGAGGUGGAGCUGCAGGGCCUGCAGACACGCAUCUCCACGCCUUCCGCGACCAUCGACACGAUGUGCGGCGGUAUGAGAAGGCUCGGAGACAUCUACAGCUCCAUAGAAGAGAUCAUGAGCCUGCCCAGCAACCAAAUCGGCCUCUCCCUGCCCCUUUUUAGGAAGAUGGUCGAGGAAGAGCUUGACAGGUCACUUGUCCUGGUGGAUCUCUGCAAUGCCAUGCAGGAGAGCCUGGCAGAGCUGAAGGCGAGCAUCCAGGACCUGCAGCUCGCCCUCAAGAGAGGAGAUGCCGCUGCUGUCCAGAUCAAGAUCAAGUCCUUCAUUCGCCUCGCGAAGAAGGCGCAGAAGCCUUUCUAAAAGAUCACAAGCGACAAGGCUACCACCCAAGGCUGCGGGACGGUCAGGCUACUGGCAGAAGCAAGAGACAUGGCGGUCUCUCUGCUUGAAUCCGCGCCGCGCCUCCUGCUGAAGCAAAUUGGGGUUGCCAAUGGAAGCAGAUGGUCUCUGGUCUCAUAGAGGUUCCAGAAGAAGAGGAUUGUCUGCGAGGCGGCGCAGCUUCAAGCGCUGGACCGCGGCGUGGCCGACCUUGAGACCGGCGUUGAGUCUCUGUUCAGGAGGUUGAUCUAGAGCAGGGUUUCACUCCUGAACAUCCUUAGCUCCUAG